ensembl:miRNA
AUCGCAGUUUUAAAAUCUAUGCCUUUGGAAUAUAAAAAGCAUGGAUUUUAAAACUGGGAUGC